rnacentral:rRNA from 1 species
AGGGUGACUUAGCGGCGGACGGGUGGAGUAACGCGUGGGCAACCUGCCUUACACAGGGGGAUAACAAUUAGAAAUGAUUGCUAAUACCGCAUAAGACCCGGUACCGCAUGGUACAGGGGUAAAACUGAGGUGGUGUAAGAUGGGCCCGCGUCUGAUUAGGUAGUUGGUGGGGUAGAAGCCUACCAAGCCGACGAUCAGUAGCCGACCUGAGAGGGCGACCGGCCCACAUUGGGACUGAGACACGGCCCAAACUCCUACGGGAGGCAGCAG